AUCCCGUGGUGUGGACAUGCUGGAUGUACUCCUGAAGUUGCUCCCAAGCUUCAGGAUUGGUCUCAUUGGACGCUUGCUGAAAACUCGAAAUCCUUUCACGGAGGGC